AAUGAACGUUGGCGGCGUGGAUUAGGCAUGCAAGUCGAGCGAGAACCGGUUUCGGCCGGGGACAGCGGCGAACGGCGUAGUAAUGCAUCGGAACGUACCCUCUGGUCGGGGAUAGCUACGGGAAACUGUAGGUAAUACCCGAUGAUCUCUGCGGAGCAAAGGUGAGAUUCCGCCGGAGGAGCGGCUGAUGUGAUAUUAGCUAGUUGGUGGGGUAAUGGCCUACCAAGGCGAUGAUGUCUAGGGGGUGUGAGAGCAUGGCCCCCACGACCGGAACUGAGAUACUGUCCGGACACCUACGGGUGGCUGCAGUCGAGAAUCUGCCGCAAUGGACGAAAGUCUGACGGAGCGACGCCGCGUGCGGGAUGAAGGCCCUUGGGUUGUAAACCGCUGUCAGAGGGGAUGAAAUCUUCGGAGGUACUCCUCCGAAGUUGACAGAGCCUCAAAGGAAGCACGGGCUAAGUACGUGCCAGCAGCCGCCGUAACAC
rnacentral:rRNA from 1 species